rnacentral:lncRNA from 1 species
GAUAUCCUUUGGAUGAGUAGAAACAAUCAUCCAUGCUCAAUACUCUCAGAUGCAGUGCGCAUGUAACGCACUAGUUUCUGUCCAACGUUAGUCCUUGCAUGUUUUUAUCUCAUUUUUAUAAUUAAUUUUAUCAAAAAAUAUUUAAUUGAAAGGCUCGGGAAUAAAUAAGAAAAUAAAUAAUUUUAAUUUCAUUUAUCUGAUGGGGG